rnacentral:lncRNA from 1 species
UAUUUUGAAUUCACCAUAGGGCUCAGCCAUUCCUAGAGGAAUUCUAGGCACCUUGGAAAAAAGCGAAAUCGCGCUAGGGAUUUCAGCCGAUCUGGCAGCUCUUCCGAUGCCACUGGCGCGCCUUUUAAUCCAAAGCGCCUUUUUCGUGUCUCAUGUUUGCUCGUUUAUUGCGGAGGCCUAUAUAUGCUUCAAGAUGCUGGAAAAGGAUCACUUCCAAGUAAUCUGGAAGGCUGAUGCCAAGUACAUCUUGUGCGAGAAGCUUGAUAUGAUUCCUGACCUGGAACCGGAGUUGAUGGAGGGCACCACUGUGGCCUACCGAUGUCCGUCCGGCGUCAAAGGAAUCGGCCCUGCAGUGGAUUCAGCUGUACCAAGAGGCCGCCAACAUCACCCUGACGACGUACGACUCCAUGUCGAAUGGCCAAAGGGUGGUGUACUGGGCCAGGCUUCGUUGUCACCACGACGUCCCAGAAAAGCCGAGUCGUCCGAG